CAGUCGCCGCGGGAAUACGGAGGGGGCUAGCGUUGUUCGGAAUUACUGGGCGUAAAGCGCACGUAGGCGGCUUGGUAAGUUAGAGGUGAAAGCCCGGAGCUCAACUCCGGAAUUGCCUUUAAGACUGCAUCGCUUGAACGUCGGAGAGGUGAGUGGAAUUCCGAGUGUAGAGGUGAAAUUCGUAGAUAUUCGGAAGAACACCAGUGGCGAAGGCGGCUCACUGGACGACUGUUGACGCUGAGGUACGAAAGCGUGGGGAGCAAACAGGAUUAGAUACCCGGGUAGUCCCUGUCUCUUAUAC
rnacentral:rRNA from 1 species